CCUACGGGUGGCAGCAGUGAGGAAUAUUGGUCAAUGGACGAGAGUCUGAACCAGCCAAGUAGCGUGAAGGAUGACUGCCCUAUGGGUUGUAAACUUCUUUUAUAAAGGAAUAAAACGAGGCACGUGUGCCUGUUUGCAUGUACUUUAUGAAUAAGGAUCGGCUAACUCCGUGCCAGCAGCCGCGGUAAUACGGAGGAUCCGAGCGGUAUCCGGAUUUAUUGGGUUUAAAGGGAGCGUAGAUGGGUUGUUAAGUCAGUUGUGAAAGUUUGCGGCUCAAACGUAAAAUUGCAAUUGAUACUGGCAGUCUUGAGUACAGUUGAGGUAAGCGGAAUUCGUGGUGUAGCGGUGAAAUGCUUAGAUAUCACGAAGAACCCCGAUUGCGAAGGCAGCUUACUAAACUGUGACUGACAUUGAUGCUCGAAAGUGUGGGUAUCAAACAGGAUUAGAUACCCUGGUAGUC
rnacentral:rRNA from 1 species